UACGGAGGGGUUAGCGUUGUUCGGAAUUACUGGGCGUAAAGCGCACGUAGGCGGGAUUGGAAAGUUAGGGGGUGGAAAUCCCCAGGGCGUCAACCCCUCGGAACUGCCUCCAAAACUACCCAGUCUGGAGUUCGAGAGAGGUGAGUGGAAUUCCGAGUGUAGAGGUGAAAUUCGUAGAUAUUCGGAGGAACACCAGUGGCGAAGGCGGCUCACUGGCUCGAUACUGACGCUGAGGUGCGAAAGUGUGGGGAGCAAACAGGAUUAGAUACCCCCCGUAGU
rnacentral:rRNA from 1 species